UACGUAGGGCGCAAGCGUUGUCCGGAAUUAUUGGGCGUAAAGAGCUCGUAGGCGGCCUGUUGCGUCCGCUGUGAAAUCCCGGGCUUAACCCCGGGCGUGCAGUGGAUACGGGCAGGCUGGAGGCAGGCAGGGGAGAACGGAAUUCCCGGUGUAGCGGUGAAAUGCGCAGAUAUCGGGAGGAACACCGGUGGCGAAGGCGGUUCUCUGGGCCUGUACUGACGCUGAGGAGCGAAAGCGUGGGGAGCGAACAGG
rnacentral:rRNA from 1 species